UUAAUUUAGAUAAACAAUAUGGCUUUACAUUUAUCUGUAGUGCACUGUACCACAUCGAAUUUUGGGCAAUAAUACAACUCGGGUACAGUCUAAUAAGGACCGGGUACGUUUAAGUAUAUUAACCUUACCCGAGGUACAUGCAAGUAUGCUUAAUGAUACCAGGGGUACAUGUAAGUAGUACCGAAGCUGUGAAUAACCAAUCGAGCGUGAGUAAAGUAGAUUGUACCUUAUGUCUUUAAUAAUUGCAGAACAAUUACCUUAAUUAUUUCUAUAUUGUUUCCAUUUGAUUACAAUUUAUUUAUUUGUCAAAUUCAAUUCUGCGGUGCUAUAAAUAUGCACCCCCCAUCCAAAAAAAUUAUUUCGUGCAUAUUGAUGGGGCUUUUUUAUUUAUUUACUCCUUUUCUGCAUUCCUCCCUUUUGUGUUGGUAAUGUGAACAUGAAAUGAUGAGCACUUUCAUGUUAAUGAAUAACUUUUAUUUUUUUUUAUAGAUUUUGGCAUAUUGCAUAUUGCCAAGGGAGAUGUUUACUGAGGAUUCCAUGCCAUUAAUGUGCAGGCUGUUGCUGACGCCAGCAUGAGCAAUAUCUGAGCACCAAUGAUGAGGGUCAUCUGCUGGGAGAUAGUGGGUAUCCGUUAAGGACUAACCUGAUGACCCCUUAACCUCAUCCCUCCCAUGCUGCAGAACAGGCCUACAAUGACCAUCUAUGUAGAGGAUAUCUGCAUGCCACUGGUGGAUGUUGGCCUUUCAAGUCCAAUAAGUGCUGUGAAAUAUCAACUGUGUACAUGCCACUGCAUAACCUGUGUCUGGAUUCAAACGUUCCACUGAUAGAGGAAUUGGUUGGAAAUGUGAUGGAACCGGAAGUUAUGAACAACACACCAGUACAUCGAGCAGCAUGUGAUAAGAGGCAGCAGCUGAUCAAACUGUUGCAUAAAAUGUGUUAAAAAUUUAUAGUUAUAAAUGUUAUAAAGUGAUAGAUGGCUCGAGUCUUCUCUGAAUAGGCAGAGCUACACUACUCAGCCAAAUGGCGUAAAGUUGUGUCAUAGCUGAUUUGGAAGGAUUGGUAUUCCUGGUCGUCUAGACACAAUAGUUACAACAGCUGAUGUUUGCAUGUUUUAUAAUUGUGUAUUCAUAAUUUGUCUAAUAUUUACUUCAAGGUUAUAGGUUUGUGAAAGAAAAAAAAUGUCAAUGUUCUGAGGACCAAUAAAAAAAGUUAUGUGUUAGGUAUUACCAAGUGCUUGAUUUAAUAUUUAUUUUAAAGGGAACUUUUCCUAAAUUUUGGCAGAUAUUCAAGUUUUUCAUUAAACGCUUUUAUAUUGAUACAUGUAAACACUGGAUCUAAAAAGCUCCAGUAAAAAAAAGAAUACAAUUAAAGAAAGAUAAAAGUAACUCCUACAGGGCUCAGACCACUGACCCCUGAAGUAAAAGCCUCACACUAAGACCACUUGUCCGUCCAUGUUGAUACAAUGAGUGAUGUAUUUUACACUUUAUAUAAGCAAUCCUCAUCUUGCAUAUAAUGGAUAUUUUAGAGCAUGGUAAAUGUUCAGUAUUACUGUUUCCUCACAAAUAUCAUAACUACAACAAAUGUUUGCGAAUCUUAAACUUAUUUUUUUUAAUUUAGUCAAUUUACCAAAACUGGAAAAGGUCCCUUGAAUAUUGAACAGUUAUCUGAGCUCCAGAAAAGAUCAUAUACUCAAGGUACUUUUCCCCAUAAACAAUUAUUCAAGUGAUAUUUUACCCACUGACUUUCGCUCUAAAAGGUGUUCUCUGUAAUGAACAUUCUCAAAGCCACAUUAAAACAAGGGCUGUUAGUAAAACAUGCAUGCCCCCCAUUUGGGCUGUCAGUUGUAGUGGCAGUCAUUGUGUGAAUACGUUUUUUGUCACUGUGAACUUGACCUUUGACUUAGUGACCUGAAAAUCAAUAGGAGUCAUCUGCCAGACAUGAUCAAUGUACCUACGAAGUUUCAUAAUCCUAGCUGUUGGCAUUCUUGAGUUACCAUCCGGAAACCAUUUUACUAUUUUGAGUCACCGUGACCUUGACAUUUGACCUAGUGACCUAAAAUCAAUAGGGGUCAUCUGCAAGUCAUGAUCAAUGUACCUAUGAAGUUUCAUGAUCCUAGGCGUAAGCAUUCUUAAUUCAUCAUCUGGAAAUCAUUUUACUGUUUCAACUCACUGUGACCUUGACCUUUGACUUAGUGACCUGACAAUCAAUAGGGGUAAUCUGCCAGUCAUGAUUAAUCUACCUAUGAAGUUUUCAUGAUCCUAUGUCCUAAGAUUUCUUGAGUUAUCUAUCAUCCGGAAACCAUCUGGUGGACAGACCGACCAAGCAAAACAAUAUACCCCCUCUUCUUUGAAGGGGGGCAUAAAAAGUGGGCUUGUAAAUGUAACGGUUCUUUAUAAUAAUAAGUGUGCUGUCUAUAAAUAUGGAUAUUAUUGUCAUAAAAAAAUAGAAGUUUUCCAAUAUAUUAGAUUGUUUCCGAAUGUAUUUACUAAACUUUACCCCUUUAUGAGUCUCUGUUCAAUUAUUUAGUCAUCUACCGUUAAAAUGUUGUUUACCUGUGCAUUUUUUUUUGUAUUUUUAUUGAAAUGUUUAUGAUAAUAAUGUUU